UACGAAGGGGGCUAGCGUUGCUCGGAAUCACUGGGCGUAAAGGGUGCGUAGGCGGGUCUUUAAGUCAGGGGUGAAAUCCUGGAGCUCAACUCCAGAACUGCCUUUGAUACUGAGGAUCUUGAGUUCGGGAGAGGUGAGUGGAACUGCGAGUGUAGAGGUGAAAUUCGUAGAUAUUCGCAAAAACACCAGUGGCGAAGGCGGCUCACUGGCCCGAUACUGACGCUGAGGCACGAAAGCGUGGGGGAGCAAACAGG
rnacentral:rRNA from 1 species